rnacentral:rRNA from 1 species
UACAGAGGGGGCAAGCGUUGUUCGGAAUUACUGGGCGUAAAGGGCGCGUAGGCGGCCUGCUAAGUCGAACGUGAAAUCCCUGGGCUCAACCCAGGAACUGCGUCCGAUACUGGUUGGCUUGAAUCCGGGAGAGGGAUGUGGAAUUCCAGGUGUAGCGGUGAAAUGCGUAGAUAUUCGCAAGAACACCAGUGGCGAAGGCGGCUCACUGGCCCGGUACUGACGCUGAGGUGCGAAGGCGUGGGGAGCAAACAGG